CCUUCGAUAGCUCAGUUGGUAGAGCGAUGGACUGUAGACUGAUAAGUGUGAACUAAUUGCGUGUAGACAUCCACAGGUCGCUGGUUCGACUCCGGUUCGAAGAA
rnacentral:tRNA from 1 species